rnacentral:rRNA from 1 species
ACGGCGAGUGAAGCGGCAAGAGCUCAAAUUUGAAAGCUGGCUCCUUCGGGGUCCGCAUUGUAAUUUGCAGAGGAUGCUUCGGGAGCGGUCCCCAUCUAAGUGCCCUGGAACGGGACGUCAUAGAGGGUGAGAAUCCCGUAUGGGAUGGGGUGUCCGCGCCCGUGUGAAGCUCCUUCGACGAGUCGAGUUGUUUGGGAAUGCAGCUCUAAAUGGGUGGUAAAUUUCAUCUAAAGCUAAAUAUUGGCCGGAGACCGAUAGCGCACAAGUAGAGUGAUCGAAAGAUGAAAAGCACUUUGAAAAGAGAGUUAAAAAGCACGUGAAAUUGUUGAAAGGGAAGCGCUUGCGACCAGACUCGCUCGCGGGGUUCAGCCGGCAUUCGUGCCGGUGUAUUUCCCCGCGGGCGGGCCAGCGUCGGUUUGGGCGGUCGGUCAAAGGCCCUCGGAAGGUAACGCCCCUAGGGGCGUCUUAUAGCCGAGGGUGCAAUGCGACCUGCCUAGACCGAGGAACGCGCUUCGGCUCGGACGCUGGCAUAAUGGUCGUAAGCGACCCGU